UACGUAGGGUGCAAGCGUUAAUCGGAAUUACUGGGCGUAAAGCGUGCGCAGGCGGUUAUAUAAGACAGUUGUGAAAUCCCCGGGCUCAACCUGGGAAGCUGCAUCUGUGACUGUAUAGCUAGAGUACGGUAGAGGGGGAUGGAAUUCCGCGUGUAGCAGUGAAAUGCGUAGAUAUGCGGAGGAACACCGAUGGCGAAGGCAAUCCCCUGGACCUGUACUGACGCUCAUGCACGAAAGCGUGGGGAGCAAACAGG
rnacentral:rRNA from 1 species